AACCCAUGCAUCAGACAUUUUCUAAGUAAUUCUUUAAAUAUUUCUCAGGCUUCAUACAGCGUUUCAUCCUCUAACUGUCAAAAAGAUGUUAUGUCAUUUCUGAGAUU
rnacentral:snoRNA from 1 species